GAAAGUAAGCUACAAAGAUAAUAUAGUCCAAGGAUGGCAAAAACAUCUCCCUGCAAUUAUUUCUCCAUUCCAUGUCUAUCACAGACAUUACCAAUCAAUCAUGGUACUUUUCUACAAAGUUUGGGUUAGAGUCCUUCUCAAUUCAGUACCCAAGCAGGCCAUCACUUGAGCUUGUAAAGGAAAUAAAUCCUAUUUCUUGGUCCUGAGUCCAACCAUGUCAUUUUACCAGAGAGGAAAUAGGCCUUGAGAAGGGAAAUGACUUACCCUAGGUCACAGCCAGUCAGUGACAAUGCAGAGAAUGUAAGACAGAACUUUGGGAAUUAGGCACCACAACUAGGCCUCGUAGGAUCAGAAUCCAGAUGUCACAACCCCCAUGGCAGCCUUUUCCCACACUCUGCAGCUGCCCUCUGCCUGCUCAGCUGACUGUCCUAACUGAAAGGGCGUGGCAGGGAUGAUCCUACAAUUCCAGGUAAGAUGUAUGUCCUGUCUCAUUUGCAGUUCGCCUUGCCAAGGAGAAGGAGGAGGAGAGCUUGAAUCAAGAGACCAGAGCCCAACCCCAGGCCAAAGCAGAAAGCAAACCAGAAGGAAGAUGUGGCUGAGGCCGAGAGCACAGGUGAAAUGCCAGGCGAAGAGGGCGAAACUGCUGGUGAAGGUGAAACUGAAGAGAAAAGUGGAGGUGAAACUCAACCAGAAGGUGAAGGUGAAACUGAAACACAAGGAAAAGGAGAAGAAUGUGAAGAUGAAAAUGAAGCAGAAGGAAAAGGAGACAAUGAAGGUGAAGAUGAGGGUGAAAUCCACGCAGAAGAUGGUGA
rnacentral:sRNA from 1 species